UAAUACAGAGGUGGCAAGCGUUGUUCGGAAUUACUGGGCGUAAAGGGCGCGUAGGCGGUCCGAUAAGUCCCGUGUGAAAUCCCUCGGCUCAACUGAGGAAUGGCACGGGAAACUGACGGGCUUGAGUUCGGGAGAGGGAAGCGGAAUUCCGGGUGUAGCGGUGAAAUGCGUAGAUAUCCGGAGGAACACCGGUGGCGAAGGCGGCUUCCUGGACCGACACUGACGCUGAGGCGCGAAAGCUAGGGGAGCAAACGG
rnacentral:rRNA from 1 species